rnacentral:rRNA from 1 species
AACGAACGCUGGCGGCAUGCCUAACACAUGCAAGUCGAACGAGACCUUCGGGUCUAGUGGCGCACGGGUGCGUAACGCGUGGGAACCUGCCCUUAGGUUCGGAAUAACUCCCCGAAAGGGGUGCUAAUACCGGAUAAUGUCUUCGGACCAAGGAUUUAUCGCCCUUGGAUGGGCCCGCGUUGGAUUAGCUAGUUGGUAGGGUAAAAGCCUACCAAGGCGACGAUUCAUAGCUGGUCUGAGAGAAUGAUCAGCCACACUGGGACUGAGACACGGCCCAGACUCCUACGGGAGGGAGCAGUGGAGAAUAUUGGACAAUGGGCGAAGGCCUGAUCAAGCAACGCCGCGUAAGUGAUGAUGGCCUUAGGGUUGUAAAGCUCUUUUACCCGGGAUGAUAAUGACAGUACCGGGAGAAUAAGCCCCGGCUAACUCCGUG